CCUGGCUCAGGAUGAACGCUGGCGGCGUGCCUAAUACAUGCAAGUAGAACGCUGAAGCUUGGUGCUUGCACCGAGCGGAUGAGUUGCGAACGGGUGAGUAACGCGUAGGUAACCUGCCUGGUAGCGGGGGAUAACUAUUGGAAACGAUAGCUAAUACCGCAUGACAACAGUUAUUGCAUGAUAACUGUUUAAAAGGGGCAACUGCUCCACUACCAGAUGGACCUGCGUUGUAUUAGCUAGUUGGUGAGGUAACGGCUCACCAAGGCGACGAUACAUAGCCGACCUGAGAGGGUGAUCGGCCACACUGGGACUGAGACACGGCCCAGACUCCUACGG
rnacentral:rRNA from 1 species